AGUGAAGAUCAUGGAAUGCAACGUGAAAGAUGGACAAUUAGUCAUACCAGUCUUCUAUGAUGUGGAUUCAUCACAUGUUCGAAACCAAAGUGAAAGCUUUGCAGACGCAUUUACCAAACACAAAUUGAGGUAUGAGAAUGAUGAUGAAGGAAUCCAAAAGAUGCAAAGAUGGAGGACUGCUCUAAGAGAUGCCGCAGAUUUAAAAGGAUAUGAUAUCCGCGAUUGGAUUGAAUCUGAAUGUAUUGGGGAUCUUGUUAAUAGAAUUUCGCCCAAAUUACGU
rnacentral:misc_RNA from 1 species